GUGCUUGCCUUGGCAGCACAUAUACUAAAAUUGGAAUGAUACAGAGAAGAUUAGCAUGGCCCCUGCACUAGGAUGAAAAUCUACACAUACACGUAAACUAAGACAAU
ensembl:snRNA U6 U6 spliceosomal RNA